rnacentral:sRNA from 1 species
UGCAGCAUUGUAGGGAGAAUUAAAAAUUAUGCAUCUCAUCACAACCAGUUACAGAUUUCUUUGUUCCUUCUCCACUCCCACUGCUUCACUUGACUAGCCUAAA